AAAUUAUUGGGCGAAAAGGGUGCGUAGGCGGUUAAAUAAGUUUAUGGUCUAAGUGCAACGCUCAACGUUGUGAUGCUAUAAAAACUGUUUAGCUAGAGUUGGAUAGAGGCAAGUGGAAUUCCGUGUGUAGUGGUAAAAUGCGUAAAUAUACGGAGGAACACCAGAACGAAGCGGCUUGCUGGGUCUUAACUGACGCUGAGGCACGAAAGCGUGGGGAGCAAACAGGAUUAGAUACCCUGGUAGUCCACGCCCUAAACGAUGAGUACUAAACGUUGGAUAAAACCAGUGUUGAAGUUAACACAUUAAGUACUCCGCCUGANUAGUACGUACGCAAGUAUGAAACUUAAAGGAAUUGACGGGACUCCGCACAAGCGGUGGAUCAUGUUGUUUAAUUCGAAGGUACCCGAAAAACCUCACCAGGUCUUGACAUGCUUUUGCAAAGCUGUAGAAAUACAGUGGAGGUUAUCAGAAGCACAGGUGGUGCAUGGUUGUCGUCAGCUCGUGUCGUGAGAUGUUGGGUUAAGUCCCGCAACGAGCGCAACCCUUGUUGUUAAUUGCCAUCAUUAAGUUGGGGACUUUAGCAAGACUGCCAAUGAUAAAUUGGAGGAAGG
rnacentral:rRNA from 1 species